UUGAUGCAUCAUGUGGUGUUCAUUGCAAAUAUCCAUGUGAAUUGAGUAAAAAUGAUUGAAAGGAAUUUACAAGAACAGAUUGGACAUAGAGCUCGUGUAAAUUAAGAGGGAAAAAAAUCCGUGAAACGAGAAAGUAUAGUUUGGGAAUAUUACUGUCAUCGUGUUGAUCAGGGUAUCGGCAAUUUUCCUUACUACUGACAUCAGUAUGGUCUAUGUCGGAAGUUUAGCUUCUAUGGUAAUCCACCAGAAUCCAAGAGUAAGCCCUCAGAGAGGAGUUGCAGUCCGAUUGUGUCAGCUUACUCAACUUGAAGAGGGAAGAUAAUGUACCGGCGCCACCGGUACAUUUGGACAGCUGUUUGAACAGCUUAAUAGAAUGAUCAAGAACUUGUUUGACUGAAGAGAUAGAAUGAAAAGGGAAGACCCAAAAGUGUUUUAUAACAGACACUGUGAGAGUACCGGAAUGCGCAAGAUGGUUUGCAUCAUGGUUAUGAAGGAAAAGCUGACAGUAUUUUUGAGACAGCAAGAAAAACAUCAUUGCACACCAUCAACUAAUGACUCCAAAGGAAUAACAAAGAUUAGAGUUCAAAGAAUGGAUUCAAUGCUGGUACUUGGAUAAAGAUAAUCAGGCAUGAACUCUCAUAUCCCAUGU